rnacentral:rRNA from 1 species
AGUGAACGCUGGCGGUAGGCCUAACACAUGCAAGUCGAACUGCAGCACAGUAAGAGCUUGCUCUUACGGGUGGCGAGUGGCGGACGGGUGAGGAAUACAUCGGAAUCUACUUUUUCGUGGGGGAUAACGUAGGGAAACCUACGCUAAUACCGCAUACGACCUACGGGUGAAAGCAGGGGAUCUUCGGACCUUGCGCGAUUGAAUGAGCCGAUGUCGGAUUAGCUAGUUGGCGGGGUAAAGGCCCACCAAGGCGACGAUCCGUAGCUGGUCUGAGAGGAUGAUCAGCCACACUGGAACUGAGACACGGUCCAGACUCCUACGGGAGGCAGCAGUGGGGAAUAUUGGACAAUGGGCGCAAGCCUGAUCCAGCCAUACCGCGUGGGUGAAGAAGGCCUUCGGGUUGUAAAGCCCUUUUGUUGGGAAAGAAAAGCAGCAGGUUAAUACCCCGCUGUUCUGACGGUACCCAAAGAAUAAGCACCGGCUAACUUCGUG